rnacentral:rRNA from 1 species
GAUGAACGCUGGCGGCGUGCCUAACACAUGCAAGUCGAACGAAGCGAUUUAACGGAAGUUUUCGGAUGGAAGUUGGAUUGACUGAGUGGCGGACGGGUGAGUAACGCGUGGGUAACCUGCCUUGUACUGGGGGACAACAGUUAGAAGUGACUGCUAAUACCGCAUAAGCGCACAGUAUCGCAUGAUACAGUGUGAAAAAACUCCGGUGGUACAAGAUGGACCCGCGUCUGAUUAGCUAGUUGGUAAGGUAACGGCUUACCAAGGCGACGAUCAGUAGCCGACCUGAGAGGGUGACCGGCCACAUUGGGACUGAGACACGGCCCAAACUCCUACGGGAGCAGCAGGUGGGGAAUAUUGCACAAUGGGACAAAGCCUGACGCAGCGACGCCGCGUGAGUGAAGAGUAUUUCGGUAUGUAAAGCUCUAUCAGCAGGGAAGAAAAUGACGGUACC